GCCAUUAAGUUCCUGAUUUAGGGUUUUAUGUACCGAAUUAGGGUUUCGGAAUCCCGGAACUGAAAUUAGGGUUUCCAGAACCGGUUUCUAGGGUUUCUUGUUAAACGCUAGGGUUUUCUAACUGAACGUUAAAGUUCUUAAUAUAUAAUUAGGGUUUGUUAUAGAUAUUGUUUAUCUGGUCAACCCUUGACCCUUAACCACAUACUGUACACAUAUACACAAAACAUAAACG
rnacentral:lncRNA from 1 species